GACGAACGCUGGCGGCGUGCCUAAUACAUGCAAGUAGAACGCACAGUUUAUACCGUAGCUUGCUACACCAUAGACUGUGAGUUGCGAACGGGUGAGUAACGCGUAGGUAACCUGCCUGGUAGCGGGGGAUAACUAUUGGAAACGAUAGCUAAUACCGCAUAAUAUUGAUUAUUGCAUGAUAAUUGAUUGAAAGAUGCUAUUGCAUCACUACCAGAUGGACCUGCGUUGUAUUAGCUAGUAGGUGAGGUAACGGCUCACCUAGGCGACGAUACAUAGCCGACCUGAGAGGGUGAUCGGCCACACUGGGACUGAGACACGGCCCAGACUCCUACGGGAGGCAGUAGUAGGGAAUCUUCGGCAAUGGACGAAAGUCUGACCGAGCAACGCCGCGUGAGUGAAGAAGGUUUUCGGAUCGUAAAGCUCUGUUGUAAGAGAAGAACGGGUGUGAGAGUGGAAAGUUCACACUGUGACGGUAUCUUACCAGAAAGGGACGGCUAACUACGUG
rnacentral:rRNA from 1 species